UGCCGGCUUAUCGAAGACCAGUUUAUGUGAAACGACAAACAUUUGGUGGUUCAAUACUAGGCCCAGAAAAACAUUUUGCUACGACGGUCACUGUCAGUACUUUAAUUGAUGGCUGUUCAGUAACACAACGAAGCAAAGACACAU